rnacentral:rRNA from 1 species
GACGAACGCUGGCGGCGUGCUUAACACAUGCAAGUCGAACGGAAAGGCCCUGCUUUUGUGGGGUGCUCGAGUGGCGAAAGGGUGAGUAACACGUGAGUAACCUGCCCUUGACUUUGGGAUAACUUCAGGAAACUGGGGCUAAUAUCGGAUAGGAGCUCCUGCUGCAUGGUGUGGGUUGGAAAGUUUCGGCGGUUGGGGAUGGACUCGCGGCUUAUCAGCUUGUUGGUGGGGUAGUGGCUUACCAAGGCUUUGACGGGUAGCCGGCCUGAGAGGGUGACCGGCCACAUUGGGACUGAGAUACGGCCCAGACUCCUACGGGAGGCAGCAGUGGGGAAUAUUGCACAAUGGGCGGAAGCCUGAUGCAGCAACGCCGCGUGCGGGAUGACGGCCUUCGGGUUGUAAACCGCUUUCGCCUGUGACGAAGCGUGAGUGACGGUAAUGGGUAAAGAAGCACCGGCUAACUACGUG